UCCCCACCCCGGCUCACCCGUGCAGCGGAUGCCGUUGGCCGUCUCCACCAUGGAGAAGCCCAAGGGGCAAACGCGGGCCACCUCUUGGCAACCGCCGUGGUUACAGGAGAGGUCGCAGCCGUACUCCCCGCAGGUCCCCGGGGGCUCUGGAAGGCAAGCGAGGGGACCACAGGGCACCGGUGCCACCCCAGAGCCCACCCCACCGUGGCACCCCUUGCCCUGGGAGCAACCCGGACCCCUGCUGGGGACAGGGACCACAGGGUACAGAUGCCACCCCAGAGACCACCCCACCGUGGCACGCCUUGCACCCCCUGCCCUGGGAGCACCCCAAAAACCUACUGGGGACGGGCACCACAGGACACCAAUGCCACCCCAGAGCCCACCCCACCGUGGCACCCCUUGCACCCCCUGCCCUGGGAGCACCCCAAACCCCUGCCAGGGAUGGGGACGGGGACCACAAGGCACCGGUGCCACCCCAGAGCCCACCCCACCGUGGCACCCAUUCCCCCAGGGACUGCUCCCUGCCCUGGGAACACCCCAGACCCCUGCUGGGGAUGGGGACAACAGGGUACCAAUGCCACCCCAACGCCCACCCCACCGUGGCACCCCUUGCACCCCCUGCCCUGGGAGCACCCCAGACACCUACUGGGGACGGGCACCACAGGGCACCGAUGCCACCCCAGACCCCCACCAGGGAUGGGGACCGUGCUGGGGGAUGCCACAGGGAGAGGUGACAAGGAGCCUAGAGAAACUGGGGGUGCUGGUUUUCGGGGUGCCGGGGAGCGGGUGGGUACCUGGGCAGGUGAUGCCCUGCUCUCCAUCCGGGCACGAGCAGAGGUUGGGGGCGAUGCACAAGCCGCUGCCGCAGCCGAAGGAGCAGAGCGCUGGGGAGACAGGGGACCAUCAGGGGGACAAGGACACCUCCCCUGUCCCCUCCUCACCCCCCCACCCCCGGCACCCCAAAAAACCUGUACUCACGCAGGGUGCACUGCCCGCUGCCCGGGGCCAGCAUCCAGCCGGGGCAACAUCCACUGCCGAAGCCCGAGAAGCAAACGUGGGGCCCCACACGGCGCCUGGGUGACCGACCAGAGGCUGAGGCCACCCUGUCCCGGGUCCCCCAGGACACGGGGCAAAGGUCCUCCCUCCGGGGGAGCUCCUCCAGAUGGUGAGAACCCCCCCCAGGACAAUGGGGGACACACGGGAGUGGUCACGACGUGCCCACGGUCACCCCAUCCCGGGGUGCACAGCAUGGAUGAGGGGGGCAGGCAGGUGUGGGGCAAAGCGGGGUGUGGUGUGACCCCAAAACCAAGUGGGACCGUGUCCCUCCUGACCCCAACACAUGGUGACAGUGGA
rnacentral:lncRNA from 1 species